CUCUGGGCUCCGCACGGGGACGCGCUCUGAGGGCGCGCUCCGGACGGCGGCGGCGCGCAGGGCCGCCGUGGCGGGAGAAGCGCUUCCGGUGGCGGCGGUGGCGGCGGAGGCGGCGCUGAGCGGGUCCCCAGAGCGGCGCGGGCUGUGGCCGGGGGGGAGCGUCCAGGACAAUGUCUGGAGAACUUCCACCAAACAUUAACAUCAAGGAACCUCGAUGGGAUCAAAGCACUUUCAUUGGACGAGCCAAUCAUUUCUUCACUGUAACUGAUCCCAGGAAUAUUCUGUUAACCAACGAACAACUAGAGGAUGCAAGGAAAGUAGUGCAUGAUUACAGGCAAGGAAUUGUUCCUCCGGGUCUCACAGAAAAUGAGUUAUGGAGAGCAAAGUACAUCUAUGAUUCAGCUUUUCAUCCCGACACUGGUGAAAAGAUGAUCUUGAUAGGAAGGAUGUCAGCUCAGGUUCCAAUGAACAUGACCAUCACAGGUUGUAUGAUGACAUUCUAUAGGACCACACCGGCAGUGCUGUUCUGGCAGUGGAUCAACCAGUCCUUCAAUGCCGUGGUCAAUUACACCAACAGAAGUGGAGAUGCUCCCCUCACUGUAAAUGAAUUGGGAACAGCUUAUGUUUCUGCAACAACAGGUGCUGUAGCGACAGCUCUAGGACUCAAUGCAUUAACCAAGCAUGUCUCUCCGCUCAUAGGACGCUUUGUUCCCUUCGCUGCGGUAGCUGCUGCUAAUUGCAUUAAUAUUCCAUUAAUGAGGCAAAGGGAACUCAAAGUUGGCAUUCCUGUCACAGAUGAAAACGGGAACCGCCUGGGCGAGUCUGCAAACGCUGCUAAACAAGCCAUCACGCAAGUAGUCGUCUCCAGGAUCCUCAUGGCGGCCCCCGGCAUGGCCAUCCCUCCCUUUAUCAUGAACACUUUGGAAAAGAAAGCCUUUCUCAAGAGGUUCCCAUGGAUGAGCGCGCCUAUUCAAGUUGGAUUAGUUGGCUUCUGUUUGGUAUUUGCUACACCUCUGUGCUGUGCUCUGUUUCCUCAGAAAAGUUCCAUGUCUGUGACAAGCUUGGAGGCCGAGCUGCAAGCCAGGAUCCGAGAGACCCAUCCUGAAAUACGGCGCGUGUACUUUAACAAGGGAUUAUAAAGUAGGGAAAGAAACAUCUUCAGAGGAUCCUACCAACCACAAGUGUGGUGUAGCCAAGUUGCUUUCUGUUUCUCAGAUUUUCUGGAAUGUACCUGUAUUGGUUCUAAAAUCAGAAACACGUCAAGUUCAGGCCGUUGAGUGACCCCCAGCUCAGGCUUGGAAGCGGGUGCCUCUCAGCUCCCAAGCCUUGGGAUUACCGAGCCAAUCAUUGACCCUCCCCUUGAUUCCAUCUCUCUCCUGGAAAUGAUGGAAACAGUAUCUACCUUAUAGACAGGCCUGAACCUGAGGUUUUGGAGCUCCAGGCCGGAGAGAUCCGCAGCGCCGAGAGACGCCGCCAGGGAGCAGCAUUGCCUGCAACAUCGCGCGGCUGGAGCCCACCGAUCCCCAGAGCUGCCGGCAGGUGGCGCAAGGCAACAGACUGCGGCUCUCGAAAGUGCAUCUCUGGAUUUCCAAGGCCAGGUCGGGAAGAUGGUGCAGGAAGCCAGGAGAAGGACAUGAUCUCUCCAGCUUCAGGAAGCUGGAAAGAUGCCAACAAGCAGGAAUGGGGCUUAUUGUACAGGGCACCUGACUCCCGGUAGGAGGGGGGCAGUGUGGAACACAGAACAAUUGUAGACCAGACCCAGCCCCUGCCCUCGGGGCCAUCAGUGCUGCGACACAGGCCAAUCACACCUGAAGCUGGCUCAGGGAAAGGGAGCUGGGAAUCAGUGAGGGCUUUAAAGAGUGGCAUCUCAACUGAUACCGGGAAGAGGAGUAGAAAUUUCUCACUGGGAGGAGAAAAGGGGCAAGAAGAAAACUAGGGCUUCUCCGUACCGGAAUGGGCUUCCCUUUCCAUGGAAAGAUCUGGAAACCAGGGAGAGUGUGGCUGAAUGGUGUGUGCAAAGGAGGGAACUUUGGGGAAGAUGCCACCAGGAUCUCAGGGUCGUGAGGGCCCUUCAGUGCCCAGGGAAGGAGUGCGGGCUUCAUCCUGAAAGCAGGGACUCCUUCUGGAGGCUUUUGUCCCGGGGAGGAACAACAGUCAGAUCCUAACUCUGUCACUUGCUGUUUUUGUCAUAUGGGACCAGCCAGUUCCCCUCUCCGAUCCUCAGUGUACUCAGCUGUAAAAUGGAGACAAUAAAACCUACAUUACAGUCUUGCUGUGAAGCUUAAAAUGGGUAAAUGGAGAACCUGAAGUCGUGACUUUCCUUUCCUUGUCCUUUUAUUUCUCUGCAAUAAACCAAAUGGAAAAGACAGACAAGCAGGCCAUUUCCAGCAUGUCACAGUGUCGGUUUGGCAAGUGUGACGUUUCCAGGGGCCAGGAAAGCGAUUCAUCAUGUGUGAUUGCAAUCAAGAACAAGUUCUUUCCUCGUAUUCUCAUUUAUGAUGAAAAUGUAUUUUAAUCAUGUGCAAUCUCCAAGAAAGAUGGUAGCAGGAGAGAACAAGGUUUUUAAUAACGCAAAGCUAAAAAUAGAGACGAAGAUGACGAUGCUAUUGAAAUUCCAAAGGAUGCCACCUCCUGAUACAAACCCUGAAUAAUAAUUUCGGUCCAGAACUAGGAGUGGGGUUGCUGGGAACCCUGUUCCCCAGGGGAGCGGCCUCAGGUGCAGCCGGGUGGCUUACCCGCUGGAUGGCUGACAUAGGAAAGAAGCAGAAAGUUUUCUUCCAACGGCCUUCUCACUGGGCGGCGUGAGUCACAUCGGCAAAUCUAGUGCGGAUGACCCGAUGAGGAGGAAAAGGAUGCUGUCACCGAAAGAGAAGCUGGGACUGGAUUCCACUUCUGCAGUGCACCUCCAGCUUCCCAGGGCUCCUUUGCAAGGCAAAAUCUGGACAAUGGGGAAACAAAAGAAAACAAAGCAAAGGACUCCCAAGUAGAGGCUGACAAUAAAAAUAAUGGAGAGAGGGAGAGAAGGCUGGACAGAAAAGCUGCCUGGACCAGGUGUAGACAGCACUCUCAAGUCUGGGAGUUGAGAGCCGGGAAGACAGGGUUUGGGGGGAGGGGACACAAAGAGGCAGCAAUGGGCAGCCCCCAUCCUUGAUGCUGGGCAUUAAGAAGGCACCCCCGUUUGGGUGUAGGGUAGGGUUUCUCCCCCCUUGGCUUCACUCCAGAAUCACCUGAAGAGCCUUUCACAAGUCUCAUUGCUCAGGUCCCAUCCAAACCAAUCACAUCCCAAUAUUCGGAGGUGGCCUGGGAAUCGGCAUUUUGGGCUCCCCAGGGCUCAGGUUCUAAGUGCAGCCAGGGUUGAGAACUGUUGUUCUCGAGAUCAAAGAGUACGUUAAAGUGAUUCCACGGCUUUGGAGGUGCCGGGGAGCGGGGGCAGUGGUUAGUGCUCUGCCGUGGUGGGGACGGGACGUCCCGCAGUGAACCAGGAGUGUGGACACUAGGAGUGUGGACCUGUGUUAUCAUUUAUUUGCACUCGACCACUGUCGAGCCUCCAUUACAGACAGCGAUGGCUAACAGGCACUGAGCAAUUAUUUUACCCUAUCGCAGCCUCAUUUACUGUCACAACACCCUGUCAAGUAACUGCGACUCUAGUUGCUCCCACUUCACACAUGAAACUGCAGCAUUUCAGGGACUUGCCAGAGACAGCCAGCUCACGCGUGGCAGAGGUAGGCAGAACGCCCUCGGCCUAUGUGUCCUGCCCAGACCCUCCCCUCAGCCUGCCAUCCAUCGCGGGUGGGGGGGGCGGGGGGAGUAGUGUCGAGCCAGCCUCUGACCCCAGGGUAAGCACAACCAAGGCUCCAUUCCCACAGGCCUGGGAGAAGAAUUCUGGAACAUCGCCAGAGGCAAACAACAGAUGUGCCCAGGACCGCAGUGGCUUGUUAGUUCUGGACAAUGUGGCUCUGGAAGGAUUCCAGCGUGGGUGGAGUUUGCAAUGUGAAAGAUGAAGCUUCUGGAGCCCUGCAGCGUGCUCUCUUCUGGGCGCGCGGCUGCUUCCUGCCUCCUUUCCCAUCCAGGCUCCCUCAGGCUCCGCCUCACACUCCUGCUUCUCCAGCCUUCUUUUCUGCCUCAACCUCUCUGACCUAAGAAGCCCCACCAAAAUAAUACACGCUCAUAAGAAUAAACUAAGAUGACGCAGAAGUGUAUAAAGAGAUGGCUUCCUUCUUCUCCUUUCCUAAUCUCAACCCCAAGGCUACCUUCUCCGGGGGUAACGGCUGUGGACUUUGAUCUCCGUUCAUCUGGCCACUGCAUAUGUAUGCGCUCACCUGUAAGUGUAUUUGGUUUGACUUUAUACAAAUGAAAUAUACAUAUUCUACUACAAUCUCACUUUUCCCCAUAAAAUUUUUUAUUUUUUAGGUAAUAUUUAUAGAUCUUCCUCAUUCUUGUGAAGAGCUUCAUAGAAUUCUGAAACGUGAAUUCCUAUAAUUUAUUAAUCAUUCCUCUAUU